rnacentral:rRNA from 1 species
GAUGAACGCUGGCGGCGUGCCUAAUACAUGCAAGUCGAGCGAACGGACGAGGAGCUUGCUCCUCUGACGUUAGCGGCGGACGGGUGAGUAACACGUGGAUAACCUACCUAUAAGACUGGGAUAACUUCGGGAAACCGGAGCUAAUACCGGAUAAUAUAUUGAACCGCAUGGUUCAAUAGUGAAAGACGGUUUUGCUGUCACUUAUAGAUGGAUCCGCGCCGCAUUAGCUAGUUGGUAAGGUAACGGCUUACCAAGGCAACGAUGCAUAGCCGACCUGAGAGGGUGAUCGGCCACACUGGAACUGAGACACGGUCCAGACUCCUACGGGAGGCAGCAGUAGGGAAUCUUCCGCAAUGGGCGAAAGCUUGACGGAGCAACGCCGCGUGAGUGAUGAAGGUCUUCGGAUCGUAAAACUCUGUUAUUAGGGAAGAACAAAUGUGUAAGUAACUGUGCACAUCUUGACGGUACCUAAUCAGAAAGCCACGGCUAACUACGUG